ACGGGCAAGGAAAAAUUUUUCUAAGCUAAAAUUUAAAAAAGUGAUCCCAUAAAAACACCAAGAUAGUGGAAUUAAAGUUUUCGUAAUUUUUUUAUUUUUAUUUGCCGAUUGUUGUGUAUGUGUGGGUGUGACCAAAAUUUCAUAACACCCCAACAAAAGACGGCUAGAUAUCUGACCCCUCCAAGUUUUCGGUGGAGGAGGUCAGCAAAUUUUUUAUAUAAAAAGCGCUGCUGCCCAGAAAGUCCAUGAGUGAGGCCAAGCCCCGGUCCGCCAAAGUACCGGUAUUCAAACAGUGGUCGGCUCGGUAGGUCUGAUGCCGAAAAAGUCAAAAAGAUCAUCAAUAUCUGGAAAGAAAAGAAAAUAUAUGAGUACAGAACCUCCAGGUAAUAAUUUGUAUUAUUAAAACUUACCGAGUCCUGAACGGUUGGUGCGGCCAAGUGGCAUAUAUAUAUCUUCCUCCUGCGGCCUGGAAAAAAAGAAGAGAAUUUUGAUUAAUAAUUAAUUUGAAUGAAAAAUGGAAUGACACCAAAAUUUUGUACUGACUAGUUUAAUUUAAUGUAAUUAUCUGUAGUUUAAGUGUGAUUGUCCUUAGUGUAUAGAAUUUAGGUUAAGAUUUU